UUCCUAUAUUUUACGAAUUAAUUGGUUGAUUGACAACAAACUUGGUACACUUGUACAGCAUAUAUAAGGAGUAGAUGACCCCUAUUGAUUCUUAGGUCACAUGGUCAGUCCACUCUUGACAUAGGAAGGUAUUGUCUGCUCAAUAUUUUGAAUUGGUGAUACUACUAUCAAUUAAAUGAGGCACGGGUAUAACCCUUUCAAUUUUGCAACUUGGGGGGCAUAUGUGUUUUAGAAACAUCUCUUGUGUUGUAUUAUAUGAAUUACAGGUUUUAGUGUGCUCAGUUUAGAUAAUAGCAUAAAAGUAUUUGAUAAUUAAAUAUCUUGCAGAUUGGCAGUUUACUCCAUGCACCGACAGGAAUGAUAAACUGUGAUAUUCGUAAAUGGAACUGGGACACGUUCUAAAUAUACUCAGUGACAGAAUGAUGUGCAGCAAGGCUCGUCAUGGAUUUUACCAAAUACAGAACACUGCAAGGCUUGCAAAAUGAAGACCUCAGUAAAAGAAUUUCUAAAUUAUCCACUAAUGGCAGCUCACUACCUGCCCCUAGUGAUGUUAAAAGAGGCCGUUGUUCUCAUUUGUUCCAAAACAGGAAUGGCAUAUGAGGAGGCCAACAGAAGAUGCACCUCCACUGACCUCCACUGAGUGUGCACUCACAAAACGAAUAAAUUAUUAUUAUUUCUUUUGUUUGUAAUUGUAUAUUGUCAACAAGGUCAAAGGCACUUGAUCCGAUGCCAAACUUUUGCAUUUCUUUUGCUUUGUGGUAAAUUUUCUUCAGCAACAUUAACAUUGUUUAAAUUGUUUUCUUUGGAGAGUAUACAUGUACA